AGAGAGUUGGCUGAGUGGUUUAAAGCGGUUAGCUAGAGUCUAAUUAAUAAUUUUUAUUCAUGCGUUCGAAUCGCAUACUUUCUG
rfam:Chaetomium globosum CBS 148.51 scaffold_9 mitochondrial scaffold, whole genome shotgun sequence.